rnacentral:lncRNA from 1 species
UUAAUUUUAUUGGUCUUGUUGAGAAAAAUAAAUAGGUAAUCAAUUCUCUGUGGAUUCGAUCAUUUCACCACUAUCUGCAGUUGUAAAUUGUUAAUAACCAGAGAAGUUAUUUUUGACCGGUUUCGACAACCGCGAGUCAAGAGGAAAGAUCCUUUUUCAGAGAGAAAAAGAACAAGAGAUCGAUUUUAAUCCAAAUGAAAAAAGAGAAUCAAAUGGAUUUAUCGGCAACGAAACCAAAUAAUGUUACAGAAACUAAAUAGAUGACAUGACCGGAAUGAAACUGUGUUGUGAUUGAAUAAUGUAUUUGUAACGACCCAGAAACUGGACCGCUACCGGCGCUAGGAUCCAGAUCGGCAUAAGGCCGCUGGGACCCGUAGCAAGCCUAACAUACAUCCUGUAUACCUGUUAAAUCCCAUACAUGAUCAAACAUAGACAUAAAAACUUUAAACUUUCUCUUUCAUUUACCAAGCU